UACGUAGGGGGCCAGCGUUGUCCGAAGUUACUGGGCGUAAAGGGCGCGUAGGCGGGGAAGAAAGUCUGCUGUGAAAGCCCGGAGCUUAACUCCGGAGGGUCGGUAGAUACUUUUUCUCUUGAAGCUGCUAGGGGGAGAUGGAAUUACCGGUGUAGCGGUGAAAUGCGUAGAUAUCAGGAGGAACACCUGUGGCGAAAGCGGCUCACUGGACCAUAACUGACGCUGAUGCACGAAAGCUAGGGGAGCAAACAGG
rnacentral:rRNA from 1 species